rnacentral:rRNA from 1 species
AUUGAACGCUGGCGGCAGGCCUAACACAUGCAAGUCGAGCGAGCGGCGGACGGGUGAGUAAUGUCUGGGAAACUGCCUGAUUGAGGGGGAUAACUACUGGAAACGGUAGCUAAUACCGCAUACCAUCAUAUGUGCCCAGAUGGGAUUAGCUAGUAGGUGGGGUAACGGCUCACCUAGGCGACGAUCCCUAGCUGGUCUGAGAGGAUGACCAGCCCCACGGUACCUGGGACAAGGUCCAGACUCUUACGGGAGGAAGCAUUGGGGAAUAUUGCACAAUGGGGGAAAGCCUGAUGCAGCCAUGCCGCGUGUGUGAAGAAGGCCUUGGGGUUGUAAAGCACUUUCAGCGGGGAGGCGUUACCCGCAGAAGAAGCACCGGCUAACUCCGUGCCAGCCGCCGCGGUAAUAC